rnacentral:rRNA from 1 species
UAUGGCUCAGGACGAACGCGGGCGGCGUGCUUAACACAUGCAAGUCGAACGAUGAUCCGGUGCUUGCACCGGGGAUUAGUGGCGAACGGGUGAGUAACACGUGAGUAACCUGCCCUUAACUCUGGGAUAAGCCUGGGAAACUGGGUCUAAUACCGGAUAUGACUCCUCAUCGCAUGGUGGGGGGUGGAAAGCUUUUGUGGUUUUGGAUGGACUCGCGGCCUAUCAGCUUGUUGGUGAGGUAAUGGCUCACCAAGGCGACGACGGGUAGCCGGCCUGAGAGGGUGACCGGCCACACUGGGACUGAGACACGGCCCAGACUCCUACGGGAGGCAGCAGUGGGGAAUAUUGCACAAUGGGCGGAAGCCUGAUGCAGCGGCGCCGCGUGAGGGAUGACGGCCUUCGGGUUGUAAACCCCUUUCAGCAGGGAAGAAGCGAAAGUGACGGUACCUGCAGAAGAAGCGCCGGCUAACUACGUGCCAGCAGCCGCGGUAAUACGUAGGGCGCAAGCGUUAUCCGGAAUUAUUGGGCGUAAAGAGCUCGUAGGCGGUUUGUCGCGUCUGCCGUGAAAGUCCGGGGCUCAACUCCGGAUCUGCGGUGGGUACGGGCAGACUAGAGUGAUGUAGGGGAGACUGGAAUUCCUGGUGUAGCGGUGAAAUGCGCAGAUAUCAGGAGGAACACCGAUGGCGAAGGCAGGUCUCUGGGCAUUAACUGACGCUGAGGAGCGAAAGCAUGGGGAGCGAACAGGAUUAGAUACCCUGGUAGUCCAUGCCGUAAACGUUGGGCACUAGGUGUGGGGGACAUUCCACGUUUUCCGCGCCGUAGCUAACGCAUUAAGUGCCCCGCCUGGGGAGUACGGCCGCAAGGCUAAAACUCAAAG